ACGAACGCUGGCGGCGUGCCUAAUACAUGCAAGUCGAACGCUUCUUUUUCCACCGGAGCUUGCUCCACCGGAAAAAGAGGAGUGGCGAACGGGUGAGUAACACGUGGGUAACCUGCCCAUCAGAAGGGGAUAACACUUGGAAACAGGUGCUAAUACCGUAUAACAAUCGAAACCGCAUGGUUUUGAUUUGAAAGGCGCUUUCGGGUGUCGCUGAUGGAUGGACCCGCGGUGCAUUAGCUAGUUGGUGAGGUAACGGCUCACCAAGGCGACGAUGCAUAGCCGACCUGAGAGGGUGAUCGGCCACAUUGGGACUGAGACACGGCCCAAACUCCUACGGGAGGCAGCAGUAGGGAAUCUUCGGCAAUGGACGAAAGUCUGACCGAGCAACGCCGCGUGAGUGAAGAAGGUUUUCGGAUCGUAAAACUCUGUUGUUAGAGAAGAACAAGGAUGAGAGUAACUGUUCAUCCCUUGACGGUAUCUAACCAGAAAGCCACGGCUAACUACGUGCCAGCAGCCGCGGUAAUACGUAGGUGGCAAGCGUUGUCCGGAUUUAUUGGGCGUAAAGCGAGCGCAGGCGGUUUCUUAAGUCUGAUGUGAAAGCCCCCGGCUCAACCGGGGAGGGUCAUUGGAAACUGGGAGACUUGAGUGCAGAAGAGGAGAGUGGAAUUCCAUGUGUAGCGGUGAAAUGCGUAGAUAUAUGGAGGAACACCAGUGGCGAAGGCGGCUCUCUGGUCUGUAACUGACGCUGAGGCUCGAAAGCGUGGGGAGCAAACAGGAUUAGAUACCCUGGUAGUCCACGCCGUAAACGAUGAGUGCUAAGUGUUGGAGGGUUUCCGCCCUUCAGUGCUGCAGCUAACGCAUUAAGCACUCCGCCUGGGGAGUACGACCGCAAGGUUGAAACUCAAAGGAAUUGACGGGGGCCCGCACAAGCAGUGGAGUAUGUGGUUUAAUUCGACGCAACGCGAAGAACCUUACCAAGUCUUGACAUCCCUUGACGAUGCUGGAAACAGUAUUUCUCUUCGGAGCAAGGAGACAGGUGGUGCAUGGUUGUCGUCAGCUCGUGUCGUGAGAUGUUGGGUUAAGUCCCGCAACGAGCGCAACCCUUAUUGUUAGUUGCCAUCAUUUAGUUGGGCACUCUAGCAAGACUGCCGGUGACAAACCGGAGGAAGGUGGGGAUGACGUCAAAUCAUCAUGCCCCUUAUGACCUGGGCUACACACGUGCUACAAUGGGAAGUACAACGAGUCGCAAAGUCGCGAGGCUAAGCUAAUCUCUUAAAGCUUCUCUCAGUUCGGAUUGUAGGCUGCAACUCGCCUACAUGAAGCCGGAAUCGCUAGUAAUCGCGGAUCAGCACGCCGCGGUGAAUACGUUCCCGGGCCUUGUACACACCGCCCGUCACACCACGAGAGUUUGUAACACCCGAAGUCGGUGAGGUAACCUUUUGGAGCCAGCCGCCUAAGGUGGGAUAGAUGAUUGGGGUG
rnacentral:rRNA from 1 species